GCUGCUGUGAUAGCUCAGUUGGUUAGAGUAUGGCGCUGAUAAGUCAAGCUUGCAGGUUUGUUCCCUGUAUGGACCAGCUGCA